rnacentral:rRNA from 1 species
AUUGAACGCUGGCGGCAGGCCUAACACAUGCAAGUCGAACGGUAACAGGAAGAAGCUUGCUUCUUUGCUGACGAGUGGCGGACGGGUGAGUAAUGUCUGGGAAACUGCCUGAUGGAGGGGGAUAACUACUGGAAACGGUAGCUAAUACCGCAUAACGUCGCAAGACCAAAGAGGGGGACCUUCGGGCCUCUUGCCAUCGGAUGUGCCCAGAUGGGAUUAGCUAGUAGGUGGGGUAACGGCUCACCUAGGCGACGAUCCCUAGCUGGUCUGAGAGGAUGACCAGCCACACUGGAACUGAGACACGGUCCAGACUCCUACGGGAGGCAGCAGUGGGGAAUAUUGCACAAUGGGCGCAAGCUUGAUGCAGCCAUGCCGCGUGUAUGAAGAAGGCCUUCGGGUUGUAAAGUACUUUCAGCGGGGAGGAAGGGAGUAAAGUUAAUACCUUUGCUCAUUGACGUUACCCGCAGAAGAAGCACCGGCUAACUCCGUG